AGUGCCGCUUUUGACGUUCUUUAAACAUUAAUGAAUGAAAAUCGCUCCUCUACAAUCUUCAUCAACCAACCUCUACCCCCUGCCAAUUAACCAUCGUCGAUCUCUCACCAUCUUCAAUUUUCUACCAUGAAUCCGCAAAGCGCUCUUGUCAUUGAACUCGUGGGAGCAGUAUUGUGUAAUUUCAGCUCGAGAUAUGGUUUUUGGAUAUCAGGGAUAAGUUCUAAUAGCUUGGGAUGUCAGGGAUAAGUUAUAAUUGUUUGGGAUAUCAGAGGUUUCUCACAGGUCAACUUUUGCAAAAACAUCACCAACACAAAACCAGUGAUCAAUGCAGCAACUCACUUGAACAAUCCUUGUGGCAGACUGAGUUCUAUCACCAACAGAACACCAACCACAUAACUAACUGCAACAUAAAACAAGCACUAAACAAGAAGAAUACUUCUGUGCUUGGCAAAGAAGUUGCUAUUAGGACGUGAAACACAAUGGUAAAUCAUGCUAAUGAAUGCCAUCUGGACUAUACAUACUAUAGUUACUGUAAUGAAGUGGAGAGUGCUCAUCUCCUGUUCUACUGUGUCUACAAAGUCGUAGCUGUGAAGUUUAAAUGUCAAGAUUAUUAGCCUGCCGAUGCUGUUGAUAUUUGCCAAUAGCUCUGGUGGAGAAGCUGAAGCAGUUUGUAUUCUUGAUUGUGAAGAGGCCAACUGGUUCCAGUUAACAAUCCGUAAGCUAUAUCUACUUCAAUGCAACCAACCUUUAAACAACAAGUCCACUAUUCUAGUCUGAAGCUGGAAUUACAGCAUAACGCUCUUUCGAUUAUAGAUCAAGGGAUCAUAUGAAUAUUGCAAAAACUGUCAAGUGAAGAACUGCUAUUGGUUAGAAGAACUGUUAUUCCAGAAAAUCUGGCAGUCCAUGCUUCCCGAUUGACAAAAAGGCUCCGGUAUAACUGUCUUAAGAAAGUGAUGGAGAUAUGAAUGCAUUUCUUCAUGUUAAUCUUGUUCUGAUGCAACUAUGUAGAGGAUUCUUGAUGAAAUAUCUCGUAAAUCUUAGACAAUGCAGAUGCAGCAUCUCGACUUGACAGUAUCAGUCUCCUUAGAUUGUUGCCAUGAAGAUUUCCCAGACUGCUUUGGAGGAGAUAAUAGGGAAGAACAGUGAAAAACCAUCCAUUUCUCCUAGAAAUAGUUUUUCUGUUAUUGUUAUCACAUGACUGUCAGAUUGUUUUUGAAUUCACAACUCUUCAUGGUUGAUUUAUUUACAUGUCUUAUUGGUUGUUAACAUUUUUUAUAAUAUUUUUUUCGAAUUAAUGAAAGAUUUGGAUUAUUUUGGUAUU